rnacentral:lncRNA from 1 species
AUGUUUUUUGAGUAGAAUAGAUGGCGGAUCUGAUAAAGACAAUCUCUGUUUCUACAAGAUGGGUUGUAUGGCAAGAACCGUAAGUUCCUCUUAUGAGUCAAUUUGUUUUAAAAUUCUGAAACUAUAAGUCCCAAUACAAGAUCGAUUUACAAUAUGUAUGGCAUUAAAAUGUGGAAUUCUUUGAUAUUGUUUCCUUUAAUUUCACAAAAACGGUUAAUUCAAAAUAAAAACAAUAUAAAACAAACAAACAACAAAAAGAACAAAACAGACCCAUCCUGUCCCCACCAAAAAACAAAAAAAAAGCCAUGAAAAGUUAAAAAAAAAAGAAAAGAAAAAAAAAACCAUCAACACAACAUCAACAUAUAAUUAGAAAAUAAUAAAAAAAAAAUCUCUUACAAAUCGGACUAUGUAAAGAAAAGAAAUAUACAUUCUAAUAAAUUCGUAAACAUGUAGUCGCCUGGUCUGUUGUAUGAAUAAAAGGAGAUUUCUGCAUUUACUUUAUAGUCAUAAGGAUGUUAGAGUUGUUUUUAUCAUUGAUAUCAAAACCUGAAGCACUGCAUUUGGAUAUACUUUAUGCACAGUCAUACUAUGCACCGAAGCGCACAUUGGUUGAAGGUAUCCAAUACAAGUUUUUGGCUUGUUCGUCUCAGUUGUAACUCUUGGAGUUCUUAUUUGGUGAGCAUGUUUGUUAAGCAGCCACCUUCUCUUGUUUUGUAGUCGCCUGAGUGCUGAGUGUCGUUGUAUUCGUUCCAGUUUGUUUGAUAUAAUGUAGGGGUCCCAUACUGUUGCUUCAAAUUCAAAUGUUGAUUUUACUAGAGAAAUGUAAGCGAUUUUUUUUUACAUUCCUGUGGAUACUAUCGUAAAUUACUUCUGAGGAAGCCUAGGGUUGCAUUCGCCUUUUUUGCAACUUUUGUAAUAUGUGUGUUCUACUUUAGGUCUUCUGAUAUCUGAGUAUAAUAGUUGUACUGUUGAAACACUGUCCCAUGUAAGAGGGAGGUUGUGGUGCCAACAAACUUGUUCCAAGUCAGGAGCCUGUACACAGUAGUUGUAAUUUUUUGUUGUUUUUCAUAUUUGUUUUUCGUUCAUUGUUUGUAGACAAACCAGGACGUUAUUGUUCUCGUUUGAAUUGUGUCACAUUUGUCAUUUCGGGGUCAUUUCUAGCUAUCUAUGCAGUACGGGUUUUACUUAUUGUUUGUUGAAGGCCGUACGGUGACCUAUAGUUGUAAACUUAUAUGUUAUUUGGUCUCUGGUGGAGAGUUGUCCCAUUUGAAAUCAUACCACUUCUUCUGAUUUUUAUAUAUAUAUGGCCAUCUUAGAAUAAACAAAGUAUGUGUUUAUAUAAAAUUCUAUUCUACUGGUAAAGUUGAAAAAAGAUAUAUACAUGUAGAAAGACAUUCAAACCAACCACCUCUGGUAAGUGUUUUGAAUGUAAGAAUAUAAACCACAAGUUUUGUAUUUAUUAUCUACAUACGCUUUUUAUGUGUUGUAUAAAUAGUAUUUAGAUAAUGUCAGUUUUGCUUUUUUUUUCAGGACUGUCACCACUACCGUUCAAUCAUCCAUAAGACUGGAACAGCAGUGAUGGCAACGGAUACGAUAGAAUUUUUUGAGUGUUGUGACCAUUCAAAUUGUAAUAACCAUAUUAUACGUAAACAUCCACAACGAUGCAAUCCAUUAACUACUAUAAAACCAUGAACAAUUUCUAGAAAUGUUUGAAAUUAGAAUGUAAUAAAAGCAAUUUGAUAAUUGAUUGAAAAUAAGUUUGAAU